AAUUCUAUUGACAAUGUACUGUUCAUGUGUUAUGCUUGAGGCAGUCCAACAAAAUCCCGGACGAUUUUUAAAUACCCCCCCUGGACAUUUUUUUAGGGCUCAAAACUAGGACAUGUCCGGGAAAAAGAGGACAUCUGGUCACCCUACUACAGCUCCAUUU